rnacentral:lncRNA from 1 species
UGGGGCAAGUUUUCCUUGGUUCUGAGGUUGUGAAAUAGCGGCUCGCCGUAGUACUAAGUCUCCUGCUCUGAAGGCUUUGCUCUUGACCCGGGAGUUGUAGUUGUUGGAAAAUAUGUCCCAAAAAGCCAAUCGUCAAGCUGUUGAUGGUUGAGCAACCAAGUAUUAUAAUUGAUUUGUUAAUAAAUAAAAUAUAUUUAGCAUUUUCAUCAUAAG